GACGAACGCUGGCGGCGUGCUUAACACAUGCAAGUCGAACGGAAAGGCCCUGCUUUUGUGGGGUGCUCGAGUGGCGAACGGGUGAGUAACACGUGAGUAACCUGCCCUUGACUUUGGGAUAACUUCAGGAAACUGGGGCUAAUACCGGAUAGGAGCUCCUGCUGCAUGGUGGGGGUUGGAAAGUUUCGGCGGUUGGGGAUGGACUCGCGGCUUAUCAGCUUGUUGGUGGGGUAGUGGCUUACCAAGGCUUUGACGGGUAGCCGGCCUGAGAGGGUGACCGGCCACAUUGGGACUGAGAUCCGGCCCAGACCCCUACGGGGGGCAGCAGUGGGGAAUAUUGCAAAAUGGGCGGAAGCCUGAUGCAGCAACGCCGGGGGCGGGAUGACGGCCUUCGGGUUGUAAACCGCUUUCGCCUGUGACGAAGCGUGAGUGACGGUAAUGGGUAAAGAAGCACCGGCUAACUACGU
rnacentral:rRNA from 1 species